rnacentral:rRNA from 1 species
AUUGAACGCUGGCGGCAUGCCUUACACAUGCAAGUCGAACGGUAACAGGUCUUCGGAUGCUGCCGAGUGGCGAACGGGUGAGUAAUACAUCGGAACGUGCCUAGUAGUGGGGGAUAACUACUCGAAAGAGUGGCUAAUACCGCAUGAGAUCUAAGGAUGAAAGCAGGGGAUCGCAAGACCUUGUGCUACUAGAGCGGCUGAUGGCAGAUUAGGUAGUUGGUGGGAUAAAAGCUUACCAAGCCGACGAUCUGUAGCUGGUCUGAGAGGACGAUCAGCCACACUGGGACUGAGACACGGCCCAGACUCCUACGGGAGGCAGCAGUGGGGAAUUUUGGACAAUGGGCGCAAGCCUGAUCCAGCAAUGCCGCGUGCAGGAUGAAGGCCUUCGGGUUGUAAACUGCUUUUGUACGGAACGAAAAGCCCUGGGUUAAUACCCUGGGGUCAUGACGGUACCGUAAGAAUAAGCACCGGCUAACUACGUGCCAGCCGCCGCCGUAAGAC